UACGUAGGGUGCGAGCGUUGUCCGGAAUUACUGGGCGUAAAGAGCUCGUAGGUGGUUUGUCGCGUUGUUCGUGAAAACUCACAACUCAAUUGUGGGCGUGCGGGCGAUACGGGCAGACUGGAGUACUGCAGGGGAGACUGGAAUUCCUGGUGUAGCGGUGGAAUGCGCAGAUAUCAGGAGGAACACCGGUGGCGAAGGCGGGUCUCUGGGCAGUAACUGACGCUGAGGCGCGACAGCGUGGGGAGCAAACAGG
rnacentral:rRNA from 1 species